AUUACAAUAUAAGAAAUUCAUAGUACCUGGUAAAGACCAAGUUGCCCAUCCUUCAAAACCUGCCACCUGUCCAAAACAGGGGUAUUUGAUGUCCAAAAAAAUUGAAAUUGAACUAAAUGUUGAAGAAACUAAGCCAUAUUGAUGAGUAACUAAGCCAUUUUUAUGUUUUGUGAGACAAAAGGUAACCAGAUGUGCAAGCCAACCAAGCCAUUGUCCUGUUCCCAACUGAUCCAAUUUUGUCUCAAUGGCAAACUUUAUGUCACAUCACUACUUUUGCAAGGAAAGAAACAAAAAACUGUCCAAACUGAUUUUCUUCCCUCUCAAAGCAUCACUCUCACGGUAACCAACACAAAGUUAUUGGGGGCAAAUUCUCAAAUUCAAAUUUCAAAUUUCAAAUUUCAAAUUAAACAAGUAUAUAUAUCACUCAAUACUCUCUCAUCAUUCUCUCCUUUACCUUUUAACUCUUCAAUCUCAUAUUUUUUUCAUUUAUCAUAUUUUGUAAUCUUCUCAAUUUACUAAUAUUGGUUUCCUAUUCUUCUUCUUUUUCUUUUUGCAGAAUAGUUGUUCUAAUGUUACAAGAAUAAAGUAAGCAAUGAAAUUCAUUUAUUCUUUACAAAGAUCUAUAAAAAGCAUAGGAAAACUCAACAUUAAUCUAAAACGUUGUGAAAGAGAAGAUAAUGAAAAUAAAAAAGAUGAAGGUUCCACUAAAUGAAAGUGAAGAAAGUGAAGGGUUCCAAGAAAGAAGAGAAACGCCAGAAAUUAGAUUAGUCUCAAGGAGUAUAAAUAUUGAAAGUGCAAAAUGAGAAAGAGAUGGUGAGGGAUAUGCACGUGAAUGAAGACAGUGGCUUGAGAUCUAGAAAAUUUGUUUUAACUUCAGAUGUAGAAGAAAAACAAAUCUGUAACAAAAAAAAAUCAACUCUUUCUCAUUCAUGAACUUAUUUUAUUUUAUAAGUUUUGAU